UCCCGUCAAGAAUUUGAGUUUCAACCUUGCGGUCGUACUUCCCAGGUGGAUUACUUAAUGCUUUCGCUCGGACACACACAGUGUAUCGCGUAUGUCGAGUAAUCAUCGUUUAGGGCGUGACUACCAGGGUAUCUAAUCCUGUUUGCUCCCCACGCUUUCGCGCCUCAGCGUCGGAUCCGGCCCAGCCGGCCGCCUUCGCCACGGGUGUUCUUCCCGAUCUCUACGCAUUCCACCGCUACACCGGGAAUUCCACCGGCCUCUACCGGUCCCUAGAAAGACAGUAUCCACUGCAGUUCCCAGGUUGAGCCCAGGGCUUUCACAACAGACUUAAACAACCACCUACGCACGCUUUACGCCCAGUAAUUCCGAGUAACGCUUGCACCCUUCGUAUUACCGCGGCUGCUGGCACA
rnacentral:rRNA from 1 species